AUGAGACCCAUAGGGAGAAUUUCCAUACCACGACGCCAUGUGUCCAGUGGGGGAUCUGGCAGCCAGUUGGUAAAAGAAGAGCCCGGGGAGCCAGUGUUGGCCCCACAGCAGCGUGUCCUGAGGUGAUGGGGCUCCUCAGCCCAUACGUCUGGUUUCUCAUCACCCUUGUGUUCUUCCCACUGCACCUUCCCCUCGUGAGAGCUCAAAUCGACAUGUAGCCAUGUUCAGCAUUGCUAUGGGGUCUGUGCUGGCAUUCUGGUAGCAUUGUGCAGCUUGUUUUGUAGGCCAGUUUAAAUGUUUUUUUGCUGCAGUGAACAGUGCCAUAACUAUGAACACUCUCUCAACUCGUGUCUAUAGCUACACCUUGACGUCUGUCCUCAGGACUUGUUUGGUCCACAGAGGAGGGGGUAACAGGAGCUCACUAUUGAAAAGAAAGUUUGGCCCAUGAAUCUGAGUAACCAGCAGUGAGUUUUGGUUUUGCUUUCUCCACCAGGUGCUCUGUGAUCAGGCAAUCCUGGGAGAAGAAAUGUGUCUGUCCCACCCAAGCUCAUCACCUUGACCUUCCAGCUUCCAUAGGCCCCUCCCAUUGAAGCAUCCCUUUCCCAUUGCAGGAACAGAAAUGGACACUUGGAGAAAAAUCUGUGGACUGCUAGUAAUGCGAUGAAGGCAAGAGCUGAUGAAAGCUUUGAGGUCUUCCUUCUGGGCAGUCACUCCCAGGGAGAAGCAGCAUAUCCUUUGGAGGUGGUACCAGAAUCCACUGCUUUGGGGGCAUUACAAUGUUAUAGUGAUGCUCCUGCCACUGCCAGAGGUUUGGCCAUAACACCAGACAAUAUAUGAGAGUGCAAGCCUUCUUUCCAACCCUUGGCAGCCCAUGGCAUGCUCUUUUGGGUGGAAAUGCUGCCUAUAUCCCCACCCCCUUCCCACCCAUUCAUUCCUCUGCAAAGCAUAGUUUGUCACCCCCUCGGCUGUGCUAAUGCACCCCCCAAGCUGAGGAGUGACACUGCUGGAUCUGCUGAAUGGUCCCAGCUAAUAAUACCCCCCAAUACCUCUUUAUUUUGGAAAGUUAUUCAAGGAUCCAACUUGCAGAAUGGCAUGAUAAACAUCUUGGCAAAGCUGAGUUGGCAGCAAAAGGAAGUGUCAGGGCAGGAGUAAAUGGUUAGGGGCAAAGAAAUGGCAGGAACGUCUUCAGCUGCUGUACAAUAAAAGACCAGAAGUAAUGAUUUGACACAUUUCUACCCAUCCUGUGUCUUUUUUUUUUUUUUCCAAAUGAUGUUGUGAUCACACAGACCUCUAACAUCCUCAAAACCUUUCAUGCCAAAAAUUUCCGUGGUCAGCAGGAACAUCAAUGCACCUGAAGUGGGGAACGUGGCAUUUAGCAAUUGGUUACUACAGAAGCAGAAUAAGGGCAGAGUUAUGGCCAUAUGAAAAACCCAGGGCACAGUCUUGUAAUUAAAAGGCCAUCAUAAUGCAUGUACCACUGAGGAGGACUGGGUAUUAAUCACUGUCUGAUUAAUACUUGAGAGCUUGUCUGUGUGAUCUGGAUGUAUUUUUAUGUGCUCGCCUUGUGCAUGCACGUAUUUGGCCCAGUGGUGAGAAGCAAAUGUGUCUGAGGCUUGGAAGCUGAAGUUUCACUUGAUCUGGCUUCUUGAGUCAUUUCCUGUGGAUUUGCAAGAUCUCAUAUUUGAUCUCUGCUUUCACUGUCCUACUAAUUUAGAAGCUGCUGAGCGAUGUAUUCUCUGAAUGAUUUCUCUCCCUCCUGGUAUUACUUUCAUGCCGAUAGAUACUCAAUUUUAUUUCUCUGAUAUUCAGGUUACUGUGCCGGUUCUUGCGGGUGGUGCAUUCGAGAUGACUGACUUUUCUGAAUGAAAAGGCUCCCUCUCAGAGGAGUGGGAUUUCAGCAUGCCUUUGGAGAAUUGGUUUGGAGAAUUGUCAGGAUCAUUUCAGGCACCUGCCAGGGGAAGAGAAGGUGGAGAACUCCUUGCAGUCUUCCCAGGAUGUCGUUUUGGAGGGUGGUAAGAUCAGAGCAGGAAAGCAGAAAGGACCCUCACUGCCAGAUGAACUGAUUUGCUCAAGAACUGACUAUGCCACUGUUUUCUAGUUUUUAUUUCUUUGUAACUCUGUGUUUUACUAGCGCUGAAAGUGGCAACAAAUCUUAGGAGAUCUCUUGUGCUGUUGCCUGUGUGAUUUUUCAGGACACCAAGGGAUCAACCUGGGCAACAGCAAUGACUGUGCUGGUGUCUGGGAAGGCAUUGACCAGUGCAUGCAGUCAGCCAUGAGUCACUUGUGUGGGACAAAUCUGCUGUCAUUUGUAGCUGAUUUCACGAAACCAUGCGCUCUCCUUCACCCUCUCCCAAAAUACAAACAAGGUUUAUUGAAAUGAGGAGACUGUGAGGAAAAGGGGUCUUUUCAAAACCCUUGCUUUCUAACUGGGCACUCUGUUGCCCUCGUAAUAUUCAGCAGUAUGUGAUUUAUAGCUCCCCUGACACGAUGGUUUGGUGUUUCCUUUGUGUGCAUAACUUCCUUUUGAUAUAAAGGGAUGAUAACAAACCUAAACUGUAAUCUCACUAGCACAUGACACGUUGUCUUUGUGGUGCAGAUGGCAGGAAAAUGCUCUGAUCUUGAGUUCAGCACUUCAGCCUUCCCACCCCCACCCCAAAUUCCACCCUGGUAACAGGGUGGUCAUUAGCAAGUUUAGUGAGACAGCAGUGUUGGUGGGGGCGAUUCCUUCAGAUGCAGUGAUGCAGGAUGAUGUUUUUGGGAGUCCCACUGGAGUUGAGUCCCUGGUAUGGACUCAGCAAGAGAUGGGUGCACAGCUGCUUCUUUAUCUUCUUCUUACCUUUUUGUGCUGAAUGACUAGAAGGAAAAACUGCUACAAAACCUUCACUUACCACUGUCAGUCCCCCAGCAGAGCUUUCCUUCUGUGCAUUCCCAACUCAGCGUGCCCUGGCCCAUCAAAUCAAAAAAAUAAUGUGCACGAACUCUGCAACUGUCACAGCAACCUCAGGAUUAGUCCUAAAGCUGGGCUGCUUUUGGCAUGAGGGAAGGGCUGCUCUUCUCUCGAGAUGCCUUUCCACCCUUGAGAGGUUUCUGCAUUUUUGAUACAGCUGCUUCCAGAGCCUCAUGGGAGCUGAACAAACAGAUGUCAAAUAGUCUGUUCUUACUUCAGGGAGCACAAAAGUGGAUGGGUCUGGGAUAAACACUGGAGCUGUGCACACCUUUUCCUGCCCUCCUCGGGGAUUAUUUGAAUUAGGCUUGAACCCUUAAGUGUAUUUCAAAAAGUUGCCUUCUGAUGGCCAAAAUUCACUUGGGUGUUCCUCCCUGUCUUGCACAGCUAUUGGGAGACCAACCAUUCUGAAGACUCAUGUCCCCUUUUAUUGCAAAACUCUUUGAUUGGCCUCAGCAGGUGACACAACGAACAGUUGACUACUUACUUUAGCAAAACCAGUUUUCAUGGCUUGACCUCCUUUUCUGACCCAGUGUCUUGCUGUGAGUAGAGGGUCCUAUUCAGUGUCUGAGCAGUUGUAAUUGCAGGAUUACCCAGUCCAGGCCCAGACGUGGUAGAAACCCCCCCACAGGCAUUGAUCAGGAAAGGCUUCUGGAGUUAAAUUAAGCUUUUGAAAUAUGGAAAUGAGGACAUGGCUUAG